CAGCAGCCGCGGUAAUACGUAGGGUGCAAGCGUUAAUCGGAAUUACUGGGCGUAAAGCGUGCGCAGGCGGUUAUAUAAGACAGAUGUGAAAUCCCCGGGCUCAACCUGGGAACUGCAUUUGUGACUGUAUAGCUAGAGUACGGCAGAGGGGGAUGGAAUUCCGCGUGUAGCAGUGAAAUGCGUAGAUAUGCGGAGGAACACCGAUGGCGAAGGCAAUCCCCUGGGCCUGUACUGACGCUAAUGCACGAAAGCGUGGGGAGCAAACAGGAUUAGAUACCCCUGUAGUCCCUGUCUCUUAUAC
rnacentral:rRNA from 1 species